UUUCUACGGGGGGCAGCAGUGGGGAAUAUUGCACAAUGGGGGAAACCCUGAUGCAGCGACGCCGCGUGAGUGAAGAAGUAUUUCGGUACAUAAAGCUCUAUCAGCAGGGAAGAAAAAAAGUCCUUUGGACUUUGGACGGUACCUGACUAAGAAGCCCCGGCUAACUACGUGCCAGCAGCCGCGGUAAUACGUAGGGGGCAAGCGUUAUCCGGAUUUACUGGGUGUAAAGGGAGCGUAGACGGCAGCGCAAGUCUGGAGUGAAAUGCCGGGGCCCAACCCCGGAACUGCUUUGGAAACUGUGCAGC
rnacentral:rRNA from 1 species